rnacentral:sRNA from 1 species
AAAUUAUUGUCAGAUUCAAUUUCUACCAAAUUUUUAUUUUAUUUUCUGUUUUCAUAUUUGUUGGGUUUACAUCUAUAUAUACAUUUUUGCAGCCAUUUUGUGAUUUACAUUUAUAUAUACAUCAAUAAAUCAUGGAGUUGGAACUUAUUUACAAUGGUUACCACUGGCUUAUUCAAUGCGAAAAUUAACUAUCAAAUAAAAGCAAAUCUUAUUCAAAAGAAUAUGCUCUUAUUCCAUGGCCUAGUUAUUUUUGCCAAAAUGGUUAAAAUAUUUA